rnacentral:rRNA from 1 species
CGACGGUGAAGCAGGAGCUUGCUCUUGUGGAUCAGUGGCGAACGGGUGAGUAACACGUGAGCAACCUGCCCCUGACUCUGGGAUAAGCGCUGGAAACGGCGUCUAAUACUGGAUAUGUGACGUGACCGCAUGGUCUGCGUUUGGAAAGAUUUUUCGGUUGGGGAUGGGCUCGCGGCCUAUCAGCUUGUUGGUGAGGUAAUGGCUCACCAAGGCGUCGACGGGUAGCCGGCCUGAGAGGGUGACCGGCCACACUGGGACUGAGACACGGCCCAGACUCCUACGGGAGGCAGCAGUGGGGAAUAUUGCACAAUGGGCGAAAGCCUGAUGCAGCAACGCCGCGUGAGGGAUGACGGCCUUCGGGUUGUAAACCUCUUUUAGCAGGGAAGAAGCGAAAGUGACGGUACCUGCAGAAAAAGCGCCGGCUAACUACGUGCCAGCAGCCGCGGUAAUACGUAGGGCGCAAGCGUUAUCCGGAAUUAUUGGGCGUAAAGAGCUCGUAGGCGGUUUGUCGCGUCUGCUGUGAAAUCCCGAGGCUCAACCUCGGGCCUGCAGUGGGUAC